GCAGGAGGUUGGUAAUGGUAAAAUAACAGUAUCAGGGAAGAAUACAGGAGCAGGAGGUUGGUAAUGGUAAAAUAACAGUAUCAGUGAAGAAUACAGGAGCAGGAGGUUGGUAAUGGUAAAAUAACAGUAUCAGGGAAGAAUACAGGAGUAGGAGGUUGGUAAUGGUAAAAUAACCGUAUCAGAGAAGAGUACAGGAGCAGGAGGUUGGUAAUGGUAAAAUAACCGUAUCAGAAGAAUACAGGAGUAGGAGGUUGGUAAUGGUAAAAUAACAGUAUCAGAAGAAUACAGGAGUAGGAGGUUGGUAAUGGUAAAAUAACAGUAUCAGGGAAGAAUACAGCAGCAGGAGGUUGGUAAUGGUAAAAUAACAGUAGCAGGGAAGAAUACAGCAGCAGGAGGUUGGUAAUGGUAAAAUAACAGUAUCAGAAGAAUACAGGAGCAGGAGGUUGGUAAUGGUAAAAUAACAGUAUCAGAGAAGAAUACAGGAGUAGGAGGUUGGUAAUGGUAAAAUAACAGUAUCAGAGAAGAAUACAGGAGCAGGAGGUUGGUAAUGGUAAAAUAACAGUAUCAGAAGAAUACAGGAGCAGGAGGUUGGUAAUGGUAAAAUAACAGUAUCAGAGAAGAAUACAGGAGCAGGAGGUUGGUAAUGGUAAAAUAACAGUAUCAGAGAAGAAUACAGGAGCAGGAGGUUGGUAAUGGUAAAAUAACAGUAUCAGAGAAGAAUACAGGAGCAGGAGGUUGGUAAUGGUAAAAUAACAGUAUCAGUGAAGAAUACAGGAGCAGGGGGUUGGUAAUGGUAAAAUAACAGUAUCAGAAGAAUACAGGAGCAGGAGGUUGGUAAUGGUAAAAUAACAGUAUCAGAAGAAUACAGGAGCAGGAGGUUGGUAAUGGUAAAAUAACAG